AAUCAUUGUUGAGGACAUUUCUGUAGGAGAUCCUUGAACCUAUCCCAUGUCUCAAAAAGAGAUUAAACUUCUAUUUGUAUAAAAGAGGAUAUUUCAUUCAUGAGCUU